UACAGAGGGGGCAAGCGUUGUUCGGAAUUACUGGGCGUAAAGGGCGCGUAGGCGGCCUUCUAAGUCGAACGUGAAAUCCCCGGGCUCAACCCGGGAACUGCGUCCGAUACUGGAUGGCUUGAAUCCGGGAGAGGGAUGCAGAAUUCCAGGUGUAGCGGUGAAAUGCGUGGAUAUCUGGAGGAAUACCGGUGGCGAAGGCGGCAUCCUGGACCGGCAUUGACGCUGAGGAGCGAAAGCCAGGGGAGCAAACGGG
rnacentral:rRNA from 1 species